rnacentral:rRNA from 1 species
UACGUAGGGCGCAAGCGUUAUCCGGAAUUAUUGGGCGUAAAGAGCUCGUAGGCGGUUUGUCGCGUCUGCCGUGAAAGUCCGGGGCUCAACUCCGGAUCUGCGGUGGGUACUGGCAGACUAGAGUGAUGUAGGGGAGACUGGAAUUCCUGGUGUAGCGGUGAAAUGCGCAGAUAUCAGGAGGAACACCGGUGGCGAAGGCGGGUCUCUGGGCCGAUACUGACGCUGAGGAGCGAAAGCG